AGCCAGGCUGGGGGGGUGCGAAAAAUCAGCUUUAUUUAAAGCACUCCUUGGAAGCUGACAAGUCCCACUCUCUCCCAAAGGACACUUGUAGGUUUAAUUUUUCCUCCCAGCUGGAGCCAGAGGGGCAGGAGGACAAAAGAAGCUGGGAUGUGUGUGUGUGUGUGUGUGUUGGGACUUGCACAAGCACUGCCCCACAGCCCCCAGGGGAAGCUCAAAGAUGCCAAAAGGAAUUGUUUGAGUUGGAAGGGGCUGCUCAGAAAUCAGCCAGCCCAUUGCAGAGCUCUCUGAAGAAAGCACAGUGGAGUUUUGAUAGAAGAUAAUAAAAUGUCAUGGAUUUGGUCCUUGUGAAUGUAUUCUUUUAAUGAAUGGAAUGAAAACCUCUGUGCAGUCCCUGAGAUCGGUUUCUCCCUGAACUUAGGGACAGAUCAGCUUUGGCCUUACGUUCCUAGCCCAUUUUAACAACCAUUCUGAAAUAGGGAUGCUCUCAGAAAAAGGCUGGAAAUUCAGGGAUGGAGACAGCUUUCUACAAAUCCCAUGUGGUUUGCAAGGCCAGGGUGGAAAGUGUGAGAUGUGCCAGGUUCUUCACCAGCAGUGAUGAGCUGGAGACUUCAUCCAACCUCUGGAUCCAACCUAACCCACUCCCCGUGUUCAGUGGGAAUUAAGAUUUUAUCAUUAAUGACCCAUGGCUUUAGCAGUGAGUGGGAAACUCCCAUCAAUUCCCAGAGCUCAGGUUUGCAAAUCCUCACUUGUGCUGACUGUUUUCAUUCCCUUUUCCCCUCCCAGAUGAUGAAGUUUGCCUGGGAUAACUACAAGCAGUACGCCCUGGGGAAGAACGAGCUGCGCCCGCUGACGAAGAACGGCCACAUCGGGAACAUGUUCGGCUCUGGGUGAAUUUUAAAACACAGCAAGCUCGUCUUUAAGAUUUUUCCCUUCUUUUGAUAUUUUCUUUAAGCACCCCAUUAUGGAUGUUGCCUGUGCCUCAUUCUGGACACUAAUUAUGCGGAAAUAAUUGUCUAAUCUUCAGAGAUAUUGAGCGUGUGAUUAAAAGGCAGCCAGCUGAGAGUGGGUGGAGUUGGACUGCUCACAGAUCCAGCUCUGGAUUAGGAGGAUUUGGUGGCAGCUCCACAGCAAAAGCUGAGUUGGAGGCUUGGCACUGGUUGGAGCAAACAUCCAGCUCCAGGGGCCUGGGCACGGCCCUGAGCUUGGGAAUCCCGGGGAAUGUGGGGCUGGAUGGGGCUUGGAGCAGCCUGGAAGGGUGGGAGGGGUCCCUGCCCAUGGCUGGGAUGGGAGGGGAUGGGAUGGGAUCCAUGGGAUGGGAUCCAUGGGAUGGGAUGGGAUGGGAUCAAUGGGAUGGGAUGGGAUCCAUGGGAUGGGAUGGGAUGGGGUCCAUGGGAUGGGAUGGGAUGGGAUGGGAUGGGAUCCAUGGGAUGGGAUCCAUGGGAUGGGAUCCAUGGGAUGGGAUGGGACAGGAUGGGAUAGGAUAGGAUGGGAUGGGAUCAAUGGGAUCCAUGGGAUGGGAUCCAUGGGAUGGGAUGGGAUCCAUGGGAAGGGCUUUGAGGUCCCUUCCCACCCCAAGCACUCAGGGAUUCAUUCCAUAGGGAGGUAAAUGCCAGAGCUGGGGCUCCUGACUGCCCUGCCUGGGCUGAAGGUGUUUUUUGGGAAUGCUCAGGCCCAGCUGUCCUCUGGCCACCGCUCACAGUCAGAUUCUUUAUGAGAUUUUUGCCAGAAUCACAGAACUAGGCUUGGAGAAUUCCUUUAAAUUCCUUUAAACCCAAGCACUGACCCAGCACCAGCCCUGUGUUCACCACUAACCCACAUCCACACAUUUCUGAGCACUCCCAGGGCUGCUGACUCCACCACUUCCCUGAGCAGAAGGUUCCAGCACUUGAUA
rnacentral:lncRNA from 1 species